AAUCAACGCUGGCGGCGUGCCUAACACAUGCAAGUCGAACGCGAAAGCCCCUUCGGGGGCAAGUAGAGUGGCGUCCGGGUGAGUAACACGUGGGUAAUCUACCUCCGGGUGGGGAAUAACUCGCCGAAAGGCGGGCUAAUACCGCAUAAUGCAGCGGCACCGAAUGGUGAUUAGUUGUUAAAGCGGGGGACCUUAGGGCCUCGCGUCUGGAGAGGAGCCUGCGGCAGAUUAGCUUGUUGGUAGGGAAUGGCCUACCAAGGCUGCGAUCUGUAGCUGGUCUGAGAGGACGGCCAGCCACACUGGCACUGACACACGGGCCAGACUCCUACGGGAGGCAGCAGUGGGGAAUUUUGGGCAAUGGGCGAAAGCCUGACCCAGCAACGCCGCGUGAAGGAGGAAAUCCUUCGGGAUGUAAACUUCACAAGCAAGGGAAGAGCGCGCAGGGUCGAAUAAACUCUGCGUCCGACGGUACCUUGCGUAAGCCACGGCUAACUACGU
rnacentral:rRNA from 1 species